rnacentral:rRNA from 1 species
GGGUUGUGAGGUUAAGCGACUAAGCGUACACGGUGGAUGCCCUGGCAGUCAGAGGCGAUGAAGGACGUGCUAAUCUGCGAUAAGCGUCGGUAAGGUGAUAUGAACCGUUAUAACCGGCGAUUUCCGAAUGGGGAAACCCAGUGUGUUUCGACACACUAUCAUUAACUGAAUCCAUAGGUUAAUGAGGCGAACCGGGGGAACUGAAACAUCUAAGUACCCCGAGGAAAAGAAAUCAACCGAGAUUCCCCCAGUAGCGGCGAGCGAACGGGGAGCAGCCCAGAGCCUGAAUCAGUGUGUGUGUUAGUGGAAGCGUCUGGAAAGGCGCGCGAUACAGGGUGACAGCCCCGUACACAAAAAUGCACAUACUGUGAGCUCGAUGAGUAGGGCGGGACACGUGGUAUCCUGUCUGAAUAUGGGGGGACCAUCCUCCAAGGCUAAAUACUCCUGACUGACCGAUAGUGAACCAGUACCGUGAGGGAAAGGCGAAAAGAACCCCGGCGAGGGGAGUGAAAAAGAACCUGAAACCGUGUACGUACAAGCAGUGGGAGCCUCUUAAUGGGGUGACUGCGUACCUUUUGUAUAAUGGGUCAGCGACUUAUAUUCUGUAGCAAGGUUAACCGAAUAGGGGAGCCGAAGGGAAACCGAGUCUUAACUGGGCGUUAAGUUGCAGGGUAUAGACCCGAAACCCGGUGAUCUAGCCAUGGGCAGGUUGAAGGUUGGGUAACACUAACUGGAGGACCGAACCGACUAAUGUUGAAAAAUUAGCGGAUGACUUGUGGCUGGGGGUGAAAGGCCAAUCAAACCGGGAGAUAGCUGGUUCUCCCCGAAAGCUAUUUAGGUAGCGCCUCGUGAAUUCAUCUCCGGGGGUAGAGCACUGUUUCGGCAAGGGGGUCAUCCCGACUUACCAACCCGAUGCAAACUGCGAAUACCGGAGAAUGUUAUCACGGGAGACACACGGCGGGUGCUAACGUCCGUCGUGAAGAGGGAAACAACCCAGACCGCCAGCUAAGGUCCCAAAGUCAUGGUUAAGUGGGAAACGAUGUGGGAAGGCCCAGACAGCCAGGAUGUUGGCUUAGAAGCAGCCAUCAUUUAAAGAAAGCGUAAUAGCUCACUGGUCGAGUCGGCCUGCGCGGAAGAUGUAACGGGGCUAAACCAUGCACCGAAGCUGCGGCAGCGACACUAUGUGUUGUUGGGUAGGGGAGCGUUCUGUAAGCCUG